AAUGAAGUUACUGCUGUUGCUGAAUUUCCUUUAACUUCCACAAUGCUCAUGUUGUUUUCACAGAUGGAGUGACUCCUACAGACAUCAUUAUCUGGAAUGUAAUGAAAGGGGCCCGAUACAUCUCUGUGUCAUGAAAGUUUUGAAAUGUUACUGAGACAGUCAUGUUUCUGGAACAGCACAGGAUGUAGGUCAAUCUUGGCUGUGUCCUACAGGUGGGAGGAUCAAGGCAACACAUCCUGGGCAUUUUCAGGGAUUACAGGCUGGCAGCUGCUGACACCGAUGUGUAGCACAGGGAGCAGUUGGGCUGUGCAGUGUUUGCUUCCAGCGAGUGCCCCUGUUGUCUCCUUGGAGUUGCUGCUCCAUCCUGAAAAAACAUUACUGAGACACCACUGGUGCUGCUUUGCAGGAGGAUGUUCUCAGGACUCUGGCACACAAGGUGAAGUACCAGCCAGCUUUUCUGACAGCAAGGAAAAGUGUCUUGAAUGUUUCUCUAGAAAGUACAGUGGGUUUUCUUUUUAAACUUUUUUUUUUUCUCUGCCAGAUGCCCAAGGGGCAAAGUUUGAUAAAUAAUUAAAAAAAACCCUUAAAACAAAAAACACAAACAAAACAAACAAACAAAACCCAAGAAAACAAAAAAGCAAAAUUUAGUUCUCUUUCCUCUUUUUGCCAAUGACUAUUUUCUUGGUUAUGUUGAAUAUUGCUAAUUGUUGUUAGUGAAAAGAAGGCUGUCUUCAAACAAUUUAAUCCUAGCCCAGAUGCCACUGCUCUGUUUAGAUUCAUCUAUUAAUAUUUCUGUGCAGUUAACUAAAAUUCUGGGAUGUUUCCUCUUUCCUCUCUGAAAACAGUGUUUGGUAAGGACUGUAGACUGUUUAGGUCUAUGGAACUGGUCAUUGUAAGCAAAGACACAGAGGGUUGAUUGGUGACCUUGUCUUGCUUUUGGCUGGAGCUUCCUCAGCUUGGUGUGACCAGGCCCAGCAGUCACUUUCCUGUUUUGACAUUGGUGGUCACUUUGCUGCUUCAGACAUGUAGACAGUAUUAUGUCCUUGACUUUUCCCACUCCUCGACAUAUGACAAACCCUCUGGAAAAUCCUGGUAUGUUGGUAAAAUUUACUUAUGAGUUUUGGUUUUGAUACAAAGAAAAGGAAAAUUAAAGUAGAAAUGGGGCAGAGGAAACCUGAGUGGUACAAAAAGAGGGGGAACAUGACAGAAGGAUCCUGUGAAGAAUGAGGGCUCUUGCUGGGAGGGUGUGGGGAGCAUCAGCUGGGUUUUCAGUAAUACAGGUGAGCAGAGGAGGGGCACUGAUAUAAAGAAACAAAAAAUUGUGAGAUAUGUCCCAGCCCCACCUUCUCAGGUUCAGCACCACUGAACUUCAGUAUCUGAGGUUCUGUAUGCCAAAGCAUGCAGGACUUGGGAGGUGUUUGCAACUGCAAAUCCAGGUAUUGUGGGGCUCAGGAAAGUAGUCUUAGGAGAAGUAGAACAUUGCUGUGGAAUACUUCAAAUGAAUUUGUGAAUUGAAAAAACAAUUUUCACAGUUUGUUUGCAAUAUGUAGUGUUUGAUUCUAAAUAAAAGCAUACUCCAAUAAUAAACUUCUGUUUUCACAG